AUGGUCAUCUUACCUCUUAGCUUUGGUGUCAUGUCCCACAGAGAGAUACAUUUUAGAGGAAGGGCCCCCCUCCUCUCUCUCCCCAGAGAGACUCAUUUUAGAGCACUGACCCCUAAACAGAGAUCCAACAUGUUGGUUGUGGUUAUUAACACAGUGACAACUAAACAGAGAUCCAACAUGUUGGUUGUGGUUAUUAACACAGUGACAACUAAACAGAGAUCCAACAUGUUGGUUGUGGUUAUUAUUAUUAUUAACACAGUGACAACUAAACAGAGAUCCAACAUGUUGGUUGUGGUUAACACAGUAAUUAUUGAAGGUCAAUUGUUCUCUUUUAUUCAUUAUCUCUUAGAAAUAAAACAUUUACUAACAGACAUAGAAACAGUCAAGAGAUUUAAUGCAUCAAAUGAAUAUGUAGUCGUGAUUUAUAUUUUUCACCUUUUGUCCAUAAUAAUAAUAAUAUAAUAAUAAUAAUAACAAUAUAAUAUAUAAUAAUAUGAAUAAUAAUGUCUCAAUUUCUCUUUUAAUAAUUUCUCUCAUUCUAGUGUGUUGCUUUGUUCAACAGGUAUGAUAUUAUGAUGCUGUUACUGAAUUCAGUUCAUAAUAUUAAUGUUAAGAAAAGUCUGUUCAGUGGUUUCAUACCAAAUUACACAGGAAGCAGGAGCUCAUUGAAAUUUAGAAAACAACAAAUGUUCUGAUAUUCUGAAAGACGACUUACAAUUUCUACAUAAAAAAUAUACAAAUUGGAAAAUAACCGCGAUAUAGGAAUAUAUGAACAACAUGUUUUUGAAUGUGACUUGCCUACGCCCAGUUAGCUCCAUUUUGUAUGAUUGAACUGUCACGUAGCUGUCCCAGGUGAAAUGGACUAUUAGAUCUGAGUGUUUUACUGUCAUUCACUAUACUAAAAUAACACCAGACAUUGAAUUUUUCUACACACUUUACAAUAAUCCCUGGGAAGAUUCUUACCUUGUAGCCUGAAUUCACAACCAGAACAUGUCAAGUCAUUGAGAUAUUUUCCGUUGUGCUGAGAGAGAACCUUCCUGAUGACAAGUGUCUCUGUAUCUAUGUUCUAGGUUCAGUUGAUCUUUGGAUGUAAUAAUAUCUGGUCAAAGUCUAGUGACACAACACCAUAGUAUAUCAGAACCAUAACAACAGUUGGCCAGUAAAGGCCAUGGAAUACUAUAAAACAGGGUUCGUCAACUAGGUUUGGCUUCGGGACAAUUGUUUUCUGAGUUAAAGUCGGUGGGUCAGAACAUAAUUAACAUAUAAUAUUAGCACAGUGAAUAGGUCUACACUACAAAUUUAACGACAUGUUUAAUAUAUUUGAUUAGUACACAAUACAUUC
rnacentral:lncRNA from 13 species